rnacentral:lncRNA from 1 species
GCUCCCUGCCUCCCCCAGUUUCAUAGCAUUUUCUCCUCUGGUCCUCUCCAAUCACCAUCACCAUCCACCUAGUUCAAACCAAAAGCUUAGAAUAUCCUCUGCUUCCUUCUUCUCCCCUCUCCCCACUUCGUGAUCCAUCAACAUCUCCCUAACCUCCCCUGAAACAUCACUCCACCCCAAGCUCCCUCCAGACUACCUCACAACCGGAGCCAGCUUUUUAAA